rnacentral:misc_RNA from 1 species
CCGUUAAUUAUGCUGCCCAAUAUCUCAAGUAAUUCAGCAAUCCCAUUAUGCCUCUCGGUCUCAAAUAUGAAACGGUAGAAGAUAUUGUUUAUAGCUUUCCUAAUAAAUGGCCGAUGUACCAUAAACUUCCCAUAAAUGCGAUGUAGUAUUGUCUUCAAAUACUCUCUCUCCCUUUGGUCCUCAGAAUCAAACAAAUCUAGCAAUUUCAACACAAAUGAAUGGUCAAUGUACCUCUUUGCAAGCUUGGCAUCGGUCUCUGUUGAAGCCACAAAUCUGAGAAGAAACUCGUACACAAUUUGAAGAUGAGGCCACGCUGGCUCCAUGGUCGGUUCUUCUUCUUCUGGGUCAUACGUUUCUAGAAUCUUGUUAUCAUGAUUUGAA